GGGUAGGUAGCUUGGAAGCUCACAGUAUUCAUGGUUCUGAUUGCGUAGGUUCGAUUCCUACCCUACCCU
rnacentral:tRNA from 1 species